CUUCUUCCGGUUGACACUUCCGGUGUAGAGCGAGUCCAUGCUUGCUCCGCUUCAGAGUACAUAUACAAUUGUUCUAAAUCAAUUGGAUCAAGUCUCAUUUUAAACAGUAUAUUGCAUUGGGCGUUAGAGGGGGCGGAGAACGUCGUGCUGCUGGCCACCUCCAGUCAGUCAGUGGGAUGUCCAGUUCGGACGUGCUAGCCAGUCCCAGUGGUGUGGACGUGUCCUCCUCUCCCAAAUCACCACUGGCUAAAACCCAGCAACCUGACAAGGACUCCAAACCAGUAACCAAACAGAACCCUGUC